rnacentral:lncRNA from 1 species
GGCGGCGGCCGGCGGCCGUUGGCGGCGGCCGUUGGCCUCGGGGCUCUCGGCAUCGCGGCACCGCCGAGGGACGGUCCUGCCGGCUCCAGCCCUGGGGCGCCUUCGCCUCCCGGCGCGGUGCCAGUGACUGCCUGCCGGCGUCACCCUCGGGGGAGCGACCGGGCCGCUGGUGUGGCCGCCUGUCUCCCAGGGGCUACGAAGCGCCUCCUGGGAGCUCUGCGCGACGCACCGGCGUCGCUAAAUAAAGCGCUUAAAUGCGGUGAAGGAUACGAGAGACACCUGGAGGAUAGAGAAGGACCACAGCCAUCGCUGGGCUGCUCAGGUUGGACCAGGAUUGCUAGGAAGAGGAUUCUGGAGAAGAUACCACAGUUGAUAUAAAAAUCCCAGAAGGUUCUUACACUGCAGGCCCUUACUGUCUCAGAGGAACCAAGACCUAAGCUAGUCACUACCAUUUUAGUAGCCAGUUUGCUAAGUGUGUGGCUGUGGCAGGGCCAGGUAAGCAUCUUGUGCCUUUUUUAUUUUGGCCACAGUGACUUAUUUGGGGGAGAGAAGGGAUCUGUGUAGGCCUUAUUUUCUGUUAUAGCCAGGUUGACCAAUGCAUCAUUCUGUGGCUGGAUUAGGCCUUAAUCUUACAGAGUAACCAGUUGCAACUUGUCGAUUUUCUCUUCAGCAUCUGUGUUGUCAUUUAUCACAGAAUCACAGAAUUAUGUCUUCUUUCUUCUUGUGCAGUGAUUUUUUUUCUGUGUCAAAUAAAGGCUGAUUUUAUCCUACA